rnacentral:rRNA from 1 species
AACGAACGCUGGCGGCAUGCCUAACACAUGCAAGUCGAACGGGAUCCUGGCUUCGGUCAGGUGAGAGUGGCGGACGGGUGAGUAACGCGUGGGAACCUGCCCAGUGGUGGGGGAUAACUGCGGGAAACUGCAGCUAAUACCGCAUGAGCCCGAGAGGGGAAAGAUUUAUCGCCAUUGGAGGGGCCCGCGUUCGAUUAGGUAGUUGGUGAGGUAACGGCUCACCAAGCCGACGAUCGAUAGCUGGUCUGAGAGGAUGAUCAGCCACACUGGGACUGAGAUACGGCCCAGACUCCUACGGGAGGCAGCAGUGGGGAAUAUUGGACAAUGGGGGGCAACCCUGAUCCAGCAAUGCCGCGUGAGUGAUGAAGGCCUUAGGGUUGUAAAGCUCUUUUGCCAGGGAAGAUGAUGACUGUACCUGGAGAAUAAGCACCGGCUAACUACGUGCCAGCAGCCGCGGUAAU